AGCUUGCUGUGUAAGUCCAUUGGGAAAUCGACCAGCUCAACUGGUCGGCGUCCGGUGGAAACUACACAGCUUGGGGCCGAGAGACUCAACGGGUACGUCCGGGGUAGGAGUGAAAUCCUGUAAUCCUGGACGGACCACCAAUGGGGAAACCACGUUGAGAGACCGGACCCGACAGUGAGGGACGAAAGCCAGGGUCUCGAACCGGAUUAGAUACCCGGGUAGUCCUGGCUGUAAACAAUGCUCGCUAGGUAUGUCACGCGCCAUGAGCACGUGAUGUGCCGUAGUGAAGACGAUAAGCGAGCCGCCUGGGAAGUACGUCCGCAAGGAUGAAACUUAAAGGAAUUGGCGGGGGAGCACCACAACCGGAGGAGCCUGCGGUUUAAUUGGACUCAACGCCGGACAUCUCACCGGUCCCGACAGUAGUAAUGACAGUCAGGUUGACGACUUUACUCGACGCUACUGAGAGGAGGUGCAUGGCCGCCGUCAGCUCGUACCGUGAGGCGUCCUGUUAAGUCAGGCAACGAGCGAGACCCACACUUCUAGUUGCCAGCAACACCCCUGCGGUGGUUGGGUACACUAGGAGGACUGCCAUUGCUAAAAUGGAGGAAGGAACGGGCAACGGUAGGUCAGUAUGCCCCGAAUGGACCGGGCAACACGCGGGCUACAAUGGCUCUGACAGUGGGAUGCAACGCCGAGAGGCGACGCUAAUCUCCAAACGGAGUCGUAGUUCGGAUUGCGGGCUGAACCCGCCCGCAUGAAGCU
rnacentral:rRNA from 1 species